CAUUCACCACCGCCACCGGAACUACUUAGCAAUGCUUGCUUGACUUAGCUGUCUAUGGAUUAAAGAAAAUACGGCUGCAUAUGCAAUUUUUUGUGAUCAUAUUUUGUGAAAUUCAGGGAUUCCACCUCCAUAUCCUCCCCAAGAUUUUCCGCCGCCGCCGCCGCCCACCGCCUCCACCGCCUCCACCGCCUCCACCGCCAGUUCCUGCACCGCCUCCACCUGGCUAUCAAAGCUAUUUCUAUGAAGGCCCUGUACCCCAACCUCCUCCUCCACCUCCACACACACCACUUGUCCAUCAUGAUCAUGAUGACAGUAGUGGUUGCUGUUCAUUCCUAAGAGGAUGUUUGGCUUGUCUUUGUUGCUGCUGUGUGUUGGAGGAGUGCUGUGGCUUCUGCUUUUAGGCUUUUUUGUGUCUGGUCUUUAACAUUCAUGGCAUUUGGUUAUUAUGUUACAUUCAUGGCAUUUGGUUAUUAUGUACUUUAUAAUCUGAGGACUUUCCUAAACAUUAUCCAUUUAAUGGAACAUGAAUCUGUAACUUAUUAAAUGAAAUGUGCUAAGACUCUUUCAACCUUCAAAACUGGAGAGCUAGCAUGCAUAUUUACCUUUA